AUUUUCAAUUUUCUUCUGUGUUGUUUUCUUAAACUAAUCCGAGAUAUCUUCAAGCAUUGACACUUGUAGGAGGUUAUGUCGACGCAAAUGAUUCAAGUAUUUGAGUUGGUGUGUAAUAGUUGGCCUUGGCGUUGCAUAUGUAGGAACACAGGAUUAGAAGGGAAGAUAUUACUCGAGCUAUUAUCUUUGCCUUAACGGACAGAAGUGAUUCAGAACUGGGCGAGUUCCUUACAUUGUUUCUGUAUAGGCCUUGGCUUCCUUUACCUUUGGAAGCAGGCAUUAACACUUGUAGGAGGUUAUGUCGACGCAAAUGAUUCAAGUAUUUGAGUUGGUUUGUAAUAGUUGGCCUUGGCGUUGCAUAUGCAAGAACAUUGGAUUAGAAGGGAAGAUAUUACUCGAGCUAUUAUCUUUGCCUUAAUGGACAGAAGUGAUUCAGAACUGGGCCAACCGCUUACACUGUUUCUGUAUAGGCCUUGGCUUCCUUUACCUUUGGAAGCAGGUAAGUGAAAUUAAUUCUUGGUUUAGUUUUCUAAUUUUAUGUUGUCCUUUGUUUCUUUUGGUUUAUAGGAAUGUUUGAGGCAGCAACUGUGGUAUCCCUAAUGUUCAAGGAAGAAAUCAAUAAAUAUUUUGAAAUGACCCUUCUUUCUUGUGCCUAUGCUAGAACUUGGAAAUGUACUCAAGGUCUUGUAUCUAUAUUUU